rnacentral:lncRNA from 10 species
CUUUUCCUAGUUAGAAGUAUCAAAAGGGGGACUCCAGAUGAACUUACCUAUACAGCGUAAAGAAACCACUGCUUUUGAAGAACAGGCAUCACUGCAAAAAGAACAGGGGAAAUUCUGGUCACGAUAGUGCGGAGUCACCUGCCUCUCACAUGCUUAGAAAUCAGUCAUUUCUUCCGAUGUUCCCUCUCCUGUCUUCUGAGACAUAGAAGGGUCUGCUAGUUACAACUCCAAUAAGUGAAUUUCCCAGGCUAUGCUGAGAAGGGAAGACGCGGCCCCUGGCAUGCAGAGCUGGCCCGCCCUGAUAGCUGGGCCGUGUGCUCUGCGGAACCUGAAUUAUUUCACUGAGCGUCAAUAUCGGACUAGGCCCCUCCAUGCCUGAGAUGGGGCAAGACACAAGGAGCCUCCUCCGAAAUGAUGUCUGAACAGACAGAACAGGAACCUUGUGCUCACAACCACAAAAUCACGAUCUGAUGUCUCCUCCUGUCCUGGCUAACUUGAGCGACGGACGUUUCUUUACCAAUCACAGCUUUAGCCUAGCCUCAUUCCAACCUCCUCCUAGAAAAAAAAUAAUAAAGCAGCCUCACAGAAUUACCCCUGCUUCCUGACAGCAUCCAAUCCAGAGCAAAUCUCUGCUUCCUC